AGUGAACGCUGGCGGUAGGCCUAACACAUGCAAGUCGAACGGCAGCACAGUAAGAGCUUGCUCUUACGGGUGGCGAGUGGCGGACGGGUGAGGAAUACAUCGGAAUCUACUUUUUCGUGGGGGAUAACGUAGGGAAACUUACGCUAAUACCGCACACGACCUACGGGUGAAAGCAGGGGAUCUUCGGACCUUGCGCGAUUGAAUGAGCCGAUGUCGGAUUAGCUAGUUGGCGGGGUAAAGGCCCACCAAGGCGACGAUCCGUAGCUGGUCUGAGAGGAUGAUCAGCCACACUGGAACUGAGACACGGUCCAGACUCCUACGGGAGGCAGCAGUGGGGAAUAUUGGACAAUGGGCGCAAGCCUGAUCCAGCCAUACCGCGUGGGUGAAGAAGGCCUUCGGGCUGUAAAGCCCUUUUGUUGGGAAAGAAAAGCAGCAGGUUAAUACCCCGCUGUUCUGACGGUACCCAAAGAAUAAGCACCGGCUAACUUCGUG
rnacentral:rRNA from 1 species